CGUGUCCCCGGUGUGCCCGUGUCCCUGUGCCCCGGUGUGCCCGUGUCCCCGUGCCCCGGUGUCUCCGUGUCCCCGGUGUGCCCGUGUCCCUGUGCCCCGGUGUCUCCGUGUCCCCGUGCCCCGGUGUGCCCGUGUCCCUGUACCCCGGUGUCCGUGUGCCCCGGUGUCUCCGUGUCCCCAGUGUGCCCGUGUCGCCGUGUCCCGGUGUCCCUGUGUCCCGGUGUGCCCGUGUCGCCGUGUCCCCAGUGUCUCCGUGUCCCCGUGCCCCGGUAUGCCCGUGUCGCCGUGUCCCGGUGUCUCCGUGUCCCCGGUGUCCCCGGUGUCUCCGUGUCCCCGGUGUGCCCGUGUCCCCGUGCCCCGGUGUCUCCGUGUCCCGGUGUCCCCGGUGUCUCCGUGUCUCCGUGUCCCCCGUGUCCCCGGUGUGCCCGUGUCCCCGUGUCCCGGUGUCCCCGGUGUGCCCGUGUCGCCGUGUCCCGGUGUCUCCGUGCCCCGGUGUCUCCGUGUCCCCGGUGUCCCCGGUGUCUCCGUGUCCCCGUGCCCCGGUGUCUCCGUGUCGCCGUGCCCCGCCCCUCGUGCAGGAGCCGUGCCGGCCCUGGGCCGCCCCUCGCUCCCGGCCCGCUCCCGGCUGUUCCCCAGCCUCCCUGGGAUGUUCAGUGCCCAUAUGGGGUAGCCGGUAAAUCGUGGAUGUUGUGUCCGUGUUCAGACGACCUUAGAAGCCGCCACCUGCAGAAAGUUAAAAAAUACGGGGGAGAAGAACACCCUGCAGCUUGCUGGCGUCUGUUGUUGAAAUGGCUCUGGAAAGCAGUAUUCAUCGCUGACAGCGACACGGGGUCCCUGAGGCUUGCUGGUGUUUGGAUGCUGCAAGUUGACACGUGCCAAGAUCUCACUGACACAUGCCAAGAUCCCGUUUGCAGUGCUUGCCAAUUCAAAAUUACAGCAUUCGUGGCUCAGCGUUUCAACAGUGAUGCUUCUUCCUUUAGAGACUUCAGCUUUCUGUCUCCAGCACCUCAGAGAUACGUUUGCUGCCAGUCUAUGUUCUCUCUUUCCUUUCCCAUCUCUGCAAUCCUGAAUAACUGGGACAGCUUUCUUUUUCUUGUUUCUCAUCACUUAGUAAUUUUUAAAAAGUCCCACUGGAAACAAUUUUCUCCUUUCUCUACCUUCAAAUAAUUUCCUUCACAACCCUCCUCCUAUUUAGGAACUCUGUUAGUUACGUCUCUGGAGUGUUUUAUAGUUACACUUAGAAUUCAAAUCCAAUUCAAAAAAUGGAGCUUGGAUCUAUCCAUGUUCAGGCAGCCUCUGGAGGGACAUCUAUGCUUUGUACUCAUUUUCACCGCUGACAACCUUUUCUGGAACAGGCUUCUUUUCUUUGAUCAUCACAGUUCUCAAUAAAUUUUAAUCCUGUACCUUCCA
rnacentral:lncRNA from 1 species